UCCUCUUUUCCCUCUUCUUUUUUUCUCAUUUAUUUAUUUAUUUAUUUUUAGUUUUUUUUCUUUCCAUUUUGGGAUGACCGACCCAUUUUUUUUUCAUUCACCAUUCUUCUUCUUCUUCUUCUUGCUUCCUCGACACCCACACACAGUUUCCCUACUCUCUUAUCUCUUAUCUCUUUUUUUCCUUUCAUUUUUCUCUCCACAUUUUUUUUUCUUUUCGAAUUUUGUCCUUCAAUUUGUUCUUUCUCAUCUUUUUCCUUUCUCUCCCUCCAACCACGCACCACACAAUACCCACACCAUCAUCUCCCUUUCCCUCAUUUUUUUUCUCUUUUUUCUUUUAUAUUUUAUAUUUUUAUUUUUUUUCUCCACUCAAACUCACUACACCGCUCCACCUGUCGGCCGAUUAUUGACAGGUUGCCGACGCUACUUCCGACGACCUCCUUCCACAUCUCCAUUGCUACUCUCUUAUUCUCUUUGAAAUUGGGAAACUUACCAUUGGAUAAGGAAAGUAAGACUCUCAUUGGAAGACGUUUUUGGGAACUUUGAAAUUCUAAGGAUUUGUUUUGGUAAAGAAGAUAUGGAUAUUGGGAGUUUAAGGAAAAUUGGACUACUCUAGAAUAAUUGAGAGUCCACAACUACAUGUAUUUUUGAAAUAGGACUUUGGAUGGGAAGAUGAGAAAAAGAAGGAAAAACGGGAGACUAUUAUUGGAUAAUGGAUUCACGAAUGAGAGAAAUUCUUUUAGAGAUCAUGUCAUUAAUGGAAUUAAAUGGAGACUGCAGAUUUGAUUCCAAAAAGGUGCGGCCGGACCAUGGCAUUACAUAUAGACAUAGUCGGCAUCUAAAAGAGAAAGGAGUUUGGAUUCAUUAAGGCUCACCAUCACACAGCCAUAGGGGGGCCACGCACAGCCACUUUGGAGAAUCUCCACAUAUACCAUGCACAGAUUUUGGAAAGCGGUAGAGGACUUCAGACGACAAAUUGGGUUGCCAUUUUGGACGCACCAUAGAGGAGAAUUCUUCAAGACAAACAACCAUACACCUCCAUGGGCUGCAAUUGGGGAACCACGCACUAAUAGGAACACGCCACUUCAGGAAGUCUCCACAUCCGCAUGAAGGAGUCCACACGCAACAGAUUGGCAUUCUCCAAGACUUACACGCACAUUCCAUGCCACCUUGAAUGAUUUCCAUUGUGGAUGCCAUUCACGAUUGCGUCUAUUUUAAAUAGAAACACCACACUACAGCAUGUAUUUUGGGAGGCUACCUGGAUGCACUUUCCAUGGGUUGUUACUUGCAAAAUUUGCCCAUAACCACACUUAGGUACCCUCCAUCAGUUUCGAAGUGGUGUACUACAAUCAAAUAAGAAAGAAUACACACAGUUCGGGGAAAUGGCCUUCAGAAUCCGCAUUUUAAGAGAACGGACUGCAACCUUUAAACAUCCACUACCAGUCCAUGCACGAUGACAAACCAUGCCUACCACUUUCCGAAAACAACCGCCACAUUGCAUGCAUGCAAAGACACCAUGCACAUCCACUUUGGAAGGUGACAUGUUUUGAGGACUUUCCACCAUUACUGAAUGAGGUAGAGUUAAAGUUUUUCUUGUCUUGAUUAUGAUUCUUUUAUUGAUUUGAAAGUUAGUUCUUUUUUUAUAUAUUAGUUUUGAAUUUGAACUAAGUUCAAGGUCAAAGUUUUUUAUUUAUUUAUUAGUUUUGAUUUUAAAUUAGAAUGAAAGUCAAAGUUUUUAUUUAUUAGUUUCUAUUUUAAGUUAGAGCUCUUUAUUUAAUUUUUGAUGCGUGAAUAUUAAUUUUGAAGUGGUUUUAGAAUUUUGGUUAAUUUACUUUAAUCGAUCCCAUGUUAUUAUCUCCAUAUGUUAAGUUUGGUUUUAAUCCUUGAUUGGUUUUUAUCUUAGUUCAUGCACUUCUUGGAUUAUGUUAGUCUUGGUUAAUAUUUUUGUUAGUUUGUUUGAUUUGGAAGUCAUUAGUUUGUUGCCUCAGUGAUUGUUGGUCAAAUCCCUUUUUUAAAGGCCAUUGGAAACUCAUGAAGGUUGGCCCUACUCUCGCCACUUUAGUCGGCUUGGUUGUUAAAAAUUUUAUUUUGUGAUUUUAUUUUCUUUUGGGUUGCCUAUGUUUGAUCCAUGAGUAUUUUCAUUUGUAAAUUAUUUCUUUCUUUUUAAAAAAUAAACAUUUUCUCAAAAUGUUCCUCAUUAAAAUGCAUUUCAAAAAUUCAUUUAGAGUCCUUAAAAUCGAAAUCUCAUUUUCUUAAAUAACAUGCAACCAUAUUUAAUCGGUUUGCAUCUUUCUCAGUUUUCAAUAAAAAUUCUGGUUUUGAAUGGAAUAUGAAUCCAAGCUUGUGGUCUCAAAUAAAUGGGAUAAUUCUACUCUAGAUUUGUGUAUAUCAAUUGGGGAAUUGGUGGAACCCUUACAUAAGAAAAUUUUCAAAACUCUUCCUUGCUGCUAAUUUUCAUUCAACCACUGACCUUUUAGAUUUAAAAUUCGUUUUAGCAAUUUUAGAAUAUUUAAAAAAAAAUUCCAAAACUUGUAUGAUUUUCCUCACUUCUUGAACUUAAAUUUAAAAUUUCGUUUGAGUUAGAAAGCAAUUUUGGAAUAGAAUAUAUGAAUGAGUUGUUAGGAGGGCUCUGUUUUCACCCAGUUCUAGACACUUGAAAUAUUUUUGUAAAAUUAAAAUAACAAAUGACUUUUCAAAUUUUAUUCAAUAUUUUUCUUUAAUUAUAGACUUCUUGAAAUUAAUUUUAGACAUAUAAAAUAUUAAAAAUAUCAGACUUUGAGGAAGAUAUGAUUUUUCAUAGCCGUACCUACUACACAUGAUGGAAUCUAAACAUGUGAUUAGUUGGAGUGUUUUAAAAAUAUUUUUGUGUACUCCCCAACCCUAGAUUUAUUUUUCCUGUGAUAUAAACACUUGAACGAUGUGAGUGAUUUUUUUGUAAAAUUUUAUGUGAUCUCUUAUUAUUUUAAAACAAAUUAUUUAUGCAUGCCACUAUUUUUUUACCUAAUCUAGAUCUUUUGGAACUUUUGGGUGUCCUUGCUACAAUUUGUCAUUUGAAUGAGUGUUUGGUUUUUGGUAUGUUGUUCUAGAUGCGUAUUUGUUGUUUCCUGGAAUUUUUUGUAAUUAAAUUCCACUCCAAGACAUUUUUUAGAAAUUGUUUUGUGAUGCUCCAUUUACCAAUUGCAUGUUGAUGGUCUUGUAUUUCGUUUAAAUUUGAUAUUAUUUUAGGAGUCAUUUUAUUUACCUUGGCUCAAUUUUAGCUUUGGUAUUGUAUAUUAGACAUAAUGAAUAUGUUAUAUAAUUUAUACUCAUCCUAACCACUCUAGCAUUUUUUGAGGAAUCUUAUAAAUUAUGCAUGCUAUCCAGGUACGCUCUCUAUCACCUAUUUUCUGAAACUUUAUGAACAUGCGUGUUAUUGUGAGCCAUAUCUAUGUUUGAUUCCAUCAUUGGGUGCCUAGAUGUUUGCUUGAUUUGCUCUGAUAAAAUGCAUGUUGUGUGUUAUAUUUUUGUGCUAACUUUAAUGUUUUAUGAUAGCACUUGAGAGACAGUCCAGGUACACAUCCUAACCCUCCUUUGCGAUUGGGAUUUGAUUUCUUUUUUGAUAUGCUAGUUUUAAAAUCACCUUAACCUACCUAGGUACUUCAAUCAAUUGAUUAAUUGUCAUUUUUCCCUCGACUUAGUCAUUAGAGACCUUUUUAGGGCUUAGAGGUGUGAUACCUCUUAAAGGUACCUUCCCAAUAGGUAACCUGAUCCCUAAACCAAGACUUGGGUUUUUCAAGAUUUGCUUUUCCUAAACUAUGGAGUCACUUCUUUAGGGUUUUCUUUCUUGUUUUAUUUUCCCUUUUAAAAUAAAAUAAAAUAAGUGGCGACUCCAACUUUUCCAAAACUAAUUUUUCACCAAUAAAAAUGAGUCUUGCCGAUUGAGUGGGAACGCAUGUGAAAAAUGUGGGUCCACAGAUUUGCUUCAUCUUCUGUUUGUUGAUGACACCAUUUUAUUUUACGAGGCCAAUAGUGAGCACCUGAGAUACUUGAGUUGAGUGUUCUUAUGGUUCGAGGUGAUUUCUAGUUUAAAAGUGAACAUGGAUGAAAGUGAGGCUAUCCCUGUAGGAAGGGUUGAUUCUUUAGAGAAUAUUGUUUCGAUGUUGGGGUGUAGAAUUGGGAAGCUCCCUACUUCUUAUUUGGGUCUUCCCUUGGGUGCCCCUUUCAUAUCCUCAAGGGUGUGGGAUGUAGUGGAAGAGAGAUUCAGAAAAUGUUUGUCCUUGUGGAAGAGGUAGUAUCUCUCUAAGAGGGAAAGGCUUACUUUGAUAAAGAGCACUUUUUCAAGUCUCCCAAUUUAGUUUAUGUCUCUUUUUGUCAUCCCGUGAAAGGUGCGUACAAGACUUGAAAAGAUCCAAAGAGACUUCUUGUGUGGCGGUGGUGUCUUAGAGAAAAAGUCGCACUUAGUAAAUUGGAGUUCGAUUUGUGCUUAUAUGAGACAAGGAGGCUUAGGUAUUCGCAGUCUUGUGGCCUUAAACAAAGCUUUGCUUGGGAAGUGGAGCUAGAAAUUUGCUGUAAAAAAGGAUUCUUUGUGGAAACAAGUCAUUAUAGAGAAAUUUGAGGUAAAGGAAAUGGUUGGUGUUCGAGAGAAGUGAGGGGAGCCUAUGGUGUGGGAGUGUGGAAAACUAUUAGAAAAGAUUGGGAAAGUAUUCAUUCUAAAUCCCACUUUAUCGUAAAGAAUGGGAGGAAGGUCAAAUUUUGGAAGGAUUUGUGGUGUGAGGACCAAACUUUGAAAGAUGUUUUCCCUAAUUUGUUCCGAUUGGUGGUCAACAAGGAUGAGUGGGUGUUUGAUGCUUGGGAGGAAGGUGGAGAGGUGGGUAGUUCGAAUCCUUUGUUUUCAAGACACUUUAACAAUUGAGAAAUGGAAGAGGUGGAGGGCUUGCUCUGGAAACUCCAUCCUUUUGUUUUGAAUAGAGACAUGGAGGAUGUCUUGAGUUGGAAGAAUAACAAGAAGACUCAUUUUCUAUUAGAUCUCUCUACUGCUCUUUCACAAGAGCUUCUAGUGACCCUUUUCCUUAGAGUAUUAUUUGGAGAUCUUAGGCUCCGAUAAGGGUAAGUUUUUUUGCUUGGGAAACAUCUUGGAACAUAAUCUUGACCAUUGAUCAGCUCAAAAUAAGGGGUUGGAAUAUGCUGAAUAGGUGUUACUUGUGUAAAGUGGAAGAGGAAACCAAUGACCACUUGAUCCUAUUUUGUAAGAAGGCUACAAUGCUAUGGAGCUUACUUUUCUCUCUUUUUGAUAUGCAGUGGGUCCUGCACUCCUCAAUCAAAAGGAAUUUGAUUGGUUGGCAUGGUGCUUUUGUGAGUAAGAAAAAGGAAAAGGCUUUGAGGACUACCCCUCUUUAUUUAAUGUGGACUUUAUGGAAUGAAAGAAAUGAAAAAGUGUCAAAGAAAUGAAAAAGUGUUCAAUGACACUGAAUGAUCUGACCAACUUUAGAACUUUCUUUUUUAUACACUUUUGUGAAUUGGGGUAAGGUAUAUUUAGAGGAUCAUUCUUUAUCUAUGAUUGAUUUUUUAGAGUGGUUUUUGUAUAAAUAAGAGAAAGGUUUUCUUCUUUCUCUUUGUCUAACUUCUUGGGUGUUGCUUGUAUACUUCAUGUGUACUUUUUUCGCCGUUUCUAGGCUUUACUAAUACAAUCUCUUAUUUAACUGUAUAAAAAAAAAAAGAAGAUAAAUUUAGGAAUCUACUUAUCAUCAUGAAAGAAGAUAUAAAAUCAUAUUAUUUCUAUAUGAAAAUGAUUUUGAGCAAGUGAAAGUAGGAGAGGGAAGUUUACUUUGGAAUUAUCCUCAUCUAAAAGAAAGGGCACUUGGGGAGAGAGAAUGCAUAAACUUUAAUUUAAAUAUUUCAAAAUUUUUAAAGAAAUUUAAGUUUACAUAAGUGGGUUUCUAUUUUCCUUUUUUUUAAAAAAAAAAAAAAAUCACCAUACCAAAACAUGCUUUUCCCUAAUUGCAAUAACAAAUAGAACUAUAAAUAAAAAAAUUUAAUAAAUAAUGUAUGUUUUAUUUUUUUAUUUCAAAUUUAAAAUAAAAACAAAAUAUAUUUUUAAAAUAUGAGAUAUUUCUUAUCAUCCAAUAUUUAAAUAUUUUUUAUUUUAAAAAUAUUUUCUUAGUAUUAUUUCACCCAUUUGAAUUAUUAACUAUCAUUUACUUAUUUUCUUAAUAUUCAAUAAAAAAAUUUAAAUGAUAUUGUAAUAAUUCUCAAGAUAAAAUUCAAAAUUAAGAGAAAUACAAUUUUUUUUAAAUCUUAUUUAAUAUAUAUUAAAUAAUAUUUAUUACGAUACUAAAAUUAAUGCUUUUUAUUUUUAAAAUUAAAUUAUAAAAUGUAAAAUAUAAUAUAAUGUUUUUAAAAAAAUUAAAUGAUAUUUUUUGAAAUAAUAAAUUUUAAAAUUUAUCAGGUAUCAUGGUCUUAGAAAAUUUGAAAAUUAAAUUUUGAGGGUAGAUGCUGACGAUCUUGCCUGCUGGUAUCAAGCAUUUGGUGCAAAAGCAUAUUAAUUAGAAGCCAUGCCUGCCAAAAAGCUGCAUACACUUUGUGGUGGAAGGGUUUUUUUGAAUCUUGUACAUGUAUAUAUACACAAGGCUUACGCUUGACUUUCUAUUGGUUUCAGGCUUCCAGCAUAUUAAAGGACAUGGGCAGAAAGAAGGAUGGUAUGAUGGUGAAAGCACAGUUGUCUCUGUCUUUGUAGUCAUUGUUGUAUCCACUGUAAGGGGCUCAGGCAUAUAGACAAUUUCAACAAGAUAUUCAAAGCCAUAAACAAUAUCCUGGUUGAUGUUGUCCGAAUGGGGGCAGCAUCAGCAGAUUUGGAUACUUGAGAUUGUUGUCAGAGAUGUUGUUCGCUUAAAAGAUUGGAGAUCAAUUUGAUUGUUCUCGGAUGGGCCUUUGUUCCAAGUCGAUGACACGACCCUGACGGAUCAGGAGCGAGGAGAACCCGUACCCUCAAUAGGUAAGGUUGGUCUGCCAGUUUUGUUGCUGAGAAUGGUGGCAGAUCCCAUACCCUCACCGUCUGGUCAGCAAUCAUUGAUCUCUUCGUCGGGCGGAGUACAGAGGGCCUCCUGGGGUGCCACAGCAAUAAUAAUAACUGCAGCAACAAUGGAUUCAUGCACUUGUAGCAAAUUUUCAUCCAACAACAAUCUAUGAGCAGGAGCUUCUUCAUCUCCUAUCUUUCAAACAAACAACACCUCUGACUACAAUUUCAAAAAUCCAAAUCUGCUGAAGCUGCCCAUUUCAAACAACAUCAACCCGGAUAUUGUUGCUGACAUUGGAUAAUUCCUGGGGAAUCACCUGUUACACCUUAAGUUACUCAAAACACAGACCAAACUUGAUGACUAGAAAGGCAGCAACAAGUAUGCUUCCCCCAUCAUACUGCCAUUCUUUCAGCCCAUGUCCUUUAAGGCAGAAACCAAGAUGAAAUGCAGCACAAAAGCUACAAGCAAGAGAAUGGUAAGAUCCUCGCAAGCUUCCACCACCAAGUGGAAGAAGCCUUUUGUGUGUGGAUUUCAGUAACACCAAGGCCUUGUGCGAGCAGGCAAAAUCUUCAAGAUCACCAAGAAUGCCCUUUUCACAUCACAGGCGCCGGAGCCGGUCCAUCAACACCUCCAGAAACCGUAAGUUCCCAACGGUGAAAGUUUUUCUUCUUCACCAUUUCACCAAGGCUUAUUUGAUCAAUCUUGGACAAGAGAUGCGCCGGAUUAACAUUAAAUGCUCUUCUUCUUGCUGGACAAAGCAUCCCUGAGAAACGAGAAAAUCAUCGACCCCUGGAAAAAGAGACGCUCGGCGAAGAUCAAAUUAAUGCCAUUAUCGAGUUCACAAAGGUUGUUUGAUAACUGAUAAGCGAGCCAGGACUCCGUACAUGCUUGCAGAAACAAGAAAAAGAAUUAUUUGAUCAAAGCAGCAUGAUGGCUCAGAGAGAAUUGAAAAGGGUUGGCUGGAUGGGGAAGGCUGCAGGGAGGGCAUAAUUAUAACAUUUUUUUUCACGCGGCAUUCUCUGAGGCCGUCUUUGUUGACCAGUUACACCAAUCAUGAGCGUAAGUUCCAUGAAAUUACUGUCGUAGGAGCAUCAUUUAUUGUUUGUUUUUUUUCUUAUUGUUUGGAAUCUUUGGUACUGAAGUGUAACCCCCAAAGCAGGACCAUUAUCUUCUUCAAAAAUUGUAUACAUACUAUCAUUUAGGAAUUAUGGACCUCUCAUUUUUUAAUUUGAGAAAGAAAAAAUUGUCGAUACAUGCAAUGCAAUGACUUUUGGACA